UGGGGAAUUUUGGACAAUGGGCGAAAGCCUGAUCCAGCAAUGCCGCGUGUGUGAAGAAGGCCUUCGGGUUGUAAAGCACUUUUGUCCGGAAAGAAAUCCUUGGCUCUAAUACAGUCGGGGGAUGACGGUACCGGAAGAAUAAGCACCGGCUAACUACGUGCCAGCAGCCGCGGUAAUACGUAGGGUGCAAGCGUUAAUCGGAAUUACUGGGCGUAAAGCGUGCGCAGGCGGUUUGCUAAGACCGAUGUGAAAUCCCCGGGCUCAACCUGGGAACUGCAUUGGUGACUGGCAGGCUAGAGUAUGGCAGAGGGGGGUAGAAUUCCACGUGUAGCAGUGAAAUGCGUAGAGAUGUGGAGGAAUACCGAUGGCGAAGGCAGCCCCCUGGGCCAAUACUGACGCUCAUGCACGAAAGCGUGGGGAGCAAAACAGGAUUAGAUACCCUGGUAGUCCACGCCCUAAACGAUGUCAACUAGUUGUUGGGGAUUCAUUUCCUUAGUAACGUAGCUAACGCGUGAAGUUGACCGCCUGGGGAGUACGGUCCGCAAGUGUAAAACUCAAAGGAAUUGACGGGGUCAUAGCUGUUUCCU
rnacentral:rRNA from 1 species